GUGGAUUAAUCAGGGCAUUUAGCGAUUGACGAGCAAAGGCGACUGGCGGCGCCCCUUGUCUCGAUUCGGCCGGUGUCACGUAUCAGUUGGAAAACAUUUUCCGCGCGGCAUGCUCUCAGCUCGAACAAACGAAUGCAAAUAGUCGCCACAAAGUUGCAAUGACAAUCGCUAAAUAAAUUAAAUAAAAUUCCCGAUAUUUUAAAAGUCUUCUCGAAGCUUCUGACAAAUUGAAUGACGGUUAAGUUAAAAAAAAAAAGUAGCAGUGAUGGAUAGGCUUAAAAAUAAGUAUCUAUAUAAAUUUCAUCUCAAUUCCAAAUUCAAGCACAACAAAUCGAAAUAAUUGCACAAAAAAAGAACCUUACCCCUUGGCGUCUUAUGGUAUUGCGAUUUUAAUAACAUUUUCAAAAAUAUAUUGCCCCCAACUGUCUGGUGGUGAGUUGAGGAAAAAGAUACCCCAAAACUCUGUUUAUCCAGAAACAACAUCAUCAAACACAACCUAAAUCGGUGGACUUAUCAACGCUCCACAGAGCAGCCGCAAAAACAAUAAACCAUUUGGCAAUUGUCUUUCUAACAUCCUGAAAACCAUCUCAGGACCUCAUUCGCAUCCUGUUUCUGUUUGUGUUCCUGGUCGAACUCACGUCGUUUGAUGGGCAUAAAGUGAAAUAAUAAAACAUUUUAACUCGACAUUUGAUGGCUGCUUUUAUUUUUAUUUGUGCGGCAUAGCGACCGGCAAAUAAAAACAGAACCCAAAAACUGAAACCGAAACCGAACUCCGGAUUCACCUUGGAGCGAUUUAAUUUUUAUGAUCCUGCCACAAAGGAGACAGAAAUCGUAAACGGGAAGAUGGAUGCCACCGGGAUGAAGACAAACUCCUUGUAACGAGGCGAAAUUUAUGCAAUUAGAAAUUAAUAUUAUACAAUUUGAUCCAUGGCCUUAUGGCCGGGACACGCGCAUCGAGUGUCAUAAAUGUUAGUAACUGCAUGUUUAUGCCACAUUUUGAAUGGGGGCGUGACAUGACAGCCUUCCAAGGAAUUCUCUCCGCCAUCCUGCAACACAAUUUUAAUGCGCAGUACAGCCAGAAAUUAAUAUUGUCACCGUGAAUGGGAUUGGAUCUGCAUUGUUUGGCAACAAAUUCGCUUUGCAUCCUCUUCCCAUUGGCGAUAACUUUUAUUAAUCAUUUAAUUCGGCUGUAAAAAGUUGUGGGUGUAUGGGUACAGUUCUGCCGGAUGCCGAUAAGCCUUAAACACAACGUGGGAAUCUGCCAAGUGUCCGCCAAUGUCCAGGACUAAGAAUACCCUGAGGGAUUACCGCCGCUGAAGUAUCCAAAGAUACAAAGUCAUUACGACGCAGCGCAUUCAUAAUUAAAAAUGUUUACACAAAUCAACGGCUUCAGGGUCCUGUAGAAUUUCUAUGAAACGCAAUGAGCGUAAUGGAGUUUGAUCCUAAUUAGUCAGCAGAAGGAUAGGACUCCAGAAAGCCCUGCAAUUCAUCCUGUACUUUCUAUUGUAAAAUGAGUAUAUCUUCAGUUAAAAGAUUUUAAAAGACUGUUCUUUUUCUUAACUCCAUUACGCACAAAACUCUUCCACUAAUCAACAGCUGAAUUAGAAAAUCAACCUCCUGAACUUUGCUCAAUUUUUUUAAGGACUCUUACUCGAGGGAACUGCUUCCCCAUUCAAAAAAUAUAACCCCGUGGCUAAUUACUAAUUCAGGCAAAAUGCUCGCUAAAAAAAUACACCAUAAUUCAAUGGAUCCGAGGGGUGGACUUUCCAGCUCAGGAAGCUAUACAGGGGAAAUCCAAUAAAUGGAACCAAAAAUGUGCGUACAUCAAGGAGCAUUUCGGCGGAUGAGGAGGUGGACACUUUGCAUAGCUAAGUGAAUUUCUAGCUGCAUAAAUCGAACUUUCACUUUUUUUUGGGUACUUUCUUUCAUACUUUCGUCCUUUCAGCACUUGGCCACCCAGGACACGUAACGCUGGACAAGGAACAGGAAACGGAAACCAAAAAAGGACGAGGACAGCUGCCGCUACGGAAAGAAGGAGCAGAUUUUCCAGGAAAAGGAAAUCUUUAAAGUCGUGUCGCGAGUAGCGAAAAUCCAGCAUUUUAUUAACGAUGGCCCGCUGAGGAAACCGGGAACUCCAACUAAUCGCAACCCUUUGGGCGCGGAAAAGCAAUCUCAGUUUUUAGCCAAAAGGGCGAAACUAUCAAAACUAUUCGGAGUGACGAUGGCAGCAGUGAAAGCGGCGCACCCAGGACACAAAUGGGACAUACAGGAUGCCCGGGAGACGCUCUGCCAAUUAACAGUUACAUGUGUUUGAAGGAAAUAAUUGGGUUGCGUGACAACGAGGACAACGGCGACAUGGCGAAAGGGGCGAGGUUCGGGCGGGAUAAAUAGUAAAUAAAUAGAGCUGCUCUAUUAAAAGCAAACAAACCCACACGCGGAUAAACUAUGCAAUUAUAGUGAUUGCUGAUAGUGCGUCAUCGUCAUCAUUGGGGAAAGGCACACGGUACUAUCGUCCUUGUUCUCGUUCUUCUUUCCAGUCCCAUCAUAAUUAUCGUCAUCAUCAAAGUCUGCCGCAGGACAAAGGCGUUGCUAAAGUUAUUAACGCGUCAUGCGGCGUCAAUCAACUUGGGGCUUCUCCAGGACCAAUUUGCAUGUAACUACACUGGCAGAAGUGUUUAGUUUUUGAAACGUGUUUUAUCUAAAGAAAAUAUAUUCCUAAUACUAGA